UACGUAGGAGGCGAGCGUUGUCCGGAAUUACUGGGCGUAAGAGCGCGUAGCGGCGCUGUACGACCCGUGUGAAAGCCCCCGGCUCAACUGGGGAGGGUCACGGGUAACGGCAGUGCUCUGAGUGCAGGAGAGGGAAGUGGAACUCCGGGAGUAGCGGUGAAAUGCGUAGAGACCCGGAGGAACACCGGUGGCGAGCGGCUCCUGGUCUGCAACUGACGCUGUGGCGCGAAAGCCGUGGGG
rnacentral:rRNA from 1 species